UUUCAUAAUGUAAUUGCCCAUCAAAGAUGAAUGCAAAUACAUUAGAACUUGAAAGUAGCCUGGGCAUCACUUAAUUUUGGUUUAGCUUUUGCUUCCUCUUACAAGGAUUGGUUAUUCAUUUUUAUUAUGGUUGUAACACCCAGAAGAGUAAGCACAGAAUAUUUACACUAAAAAUGAACAGUGUGGAACUGUGACAGAUGGGCAUUAAUCUGUCAUCAAUUACAUC